UUUCCGUAGGUGAACCUGCGGAAGGAUCAUUAAUGAUAUAAGGCCACAGGGCAAUCUUUCCGAAAGGAUCGAGCUUGCUGUGUGAACCCUACCAACGCUUGCUUUUUGCGUACCCAUUGUUUCCACGGCAGGCUUGCCUGCCAGUAGCACCCUCUUAAACCCUUUGUAAUUGCAGUCAGCGUCAGAAACAACGUAAUCGUUACAACUUUCAACAACGGAUCUCUUGGCUCUC
rnacentral:misc_RNA from 1 species